rnacentral:rRNA from 1 species
UUCCCUACGGGGGGCAGCAGUAGGGAAUAUUGCUCAAUGGGGGAAACCCUGAUGCAGCGACGCCGCGUGGGUGAAGGAGCGUUUCGGCGCGUAAAGCCCUAUCGGCAGGGAAGAAGGAGGACGGUACCUGACUAAGAAGCCCCGGCUAACUACGUGCCAGCAGCCGCGGGAAUACGUAGGGGGCAAGCGUUAUCCGGAUUUACUGGGUGUAAAGGGGGCGCAGACGGCAGCGCAAGCCAGGAGUGAAAGCCCGGGGCCCAACCCCGGGACGGCUCUUGGAACUGCGCGGCUGGAGGGCAGGGGGG